rnacentral:lncRNA from 1 species
CUGCUUCUCGUGGAGACAUAGGGCAGCCACCUUGGAUCCUUCUCUCUCUGCUGUCAAUCUCUUUCUCUUUCCAAUGUUUCACAUUGUAUCUCAUGAUCCUCAGCUCUUCAGCUUCUCCAGCUGUGAGGUUGUGGCUGCAGCCUGUAAAGGCAAGCAUAUCUUUCUCAUAGCGUAAGUGUAGAGCAAUGAAGGGUUCACUGUUGUUUCUUAACCGGUUGACCAAAACGUUUCCAAAAUCUUCAAUCUCCUUGGAGUAACCUAAUGCUUGGUAGUUAGCACGGCAUCUCAGCCGUUGGAUUGAUGGUGGCAAGCCAUUGUUGGCCAGGCGCGAAUCGGUGUGUGUGAAUUUUAUCACUUUAUAUUUUUUCAAUAGUGGUAGCAUCUCUCUUCUGUAGUAACUAGCCUUGGACCAAGAAACAGGAGCCUUCAGGAGAGGUUUCAUGGCUGCAUAGCGAGGAGGCAAGUACUCGAUGAUGUCAACGUCAUCUUUCAAUACGUUCAUGAAGUGUCGCCAGUCAAAAAUGUCUUUGAACGUGCUGUAAAAUUACAAAGAAACACUUGUUCAAAAACCAUAAUCUUACUCACAUUUGAGAAAGUGUUCUUGUUGUGUAGAACCUGGGGUCAGUCCAGAAAGAUUCAUGGUCGAGGAGAGGAAGAACAAGAGUUGCAUUCAUAAUCUUUGCUGCAGCAACCAUGUCACAUAUCUACAUUUUUCGGUAUAAAACAAAGGUAAGAAGAAAACAAGAGACCAAAGAUGUAAUAAAAAGCACUUGGGAGUUGGGACAUGUUUCACAUUGUAUCUCAUGAUCCUCAGCUCUUCAGCUUCUCCAGAUGUGAGGUUGUGGCUGCAGCCUGUAAAGGCAAGCAUAUCUUUCUCAUAGCGUAAGUGUAGAGCAAUGAAGGGUUCGCUGUUGUUUCUUAACCGGUUGACCAAAACGUUUCCAAAAUCUUCAAUCUCCUUGGAGUAACCUAAUGCUUGGUAGUUAGCACGGCAUCUCAGCCGUUGGAUUGAUGGUGGCAAGCCAUUGUUGGCCAGGCGCGAAUCGGUGUGUGUGAAUUUUAUCACUUUAUAUUUUUUCAAUAGUGGUAGCAUCUCUCUUCUGUAGUAACUAGCCUUGGACCAAGAAACAGGAGCCUUCAGGAGAGGUUUCAUGGCUGCAUAGCGAGGAGGCAAGUACUCGAUGAUGUCAACGUCAUCUUUCAAUACGUUCAUGAAGUGUCGCCAGUCAAAAAUAUCUUUGAACG